CAUAAUCAUUAGUCUUUUAAUUUGAGACUGGAAUGAAAGAGUAAACCAAGAGAAUUUCUUUUUAUUUUAAAAAAUGAAUUUUACUUUUUAGUAAAAAGGCUAAAAUAAUUCUUUUAGACAAGAAGACCCUAUAAAACUUUAUAUUUUUUCUUAAAGAAUANNAAAAGGAAAAGUAUUUCGCUGGGGUGGUGGAAAAAAANCNNUCUUUUUUUAAAAAAGUAAACUAACUAGUUUUAAUACCUAGAAUUUCUAAAAAAGAAAUAAGUUACUUUAGGGAUAACAGCUUAAUUCACUUAGAAAGAUCAAAUUGACAAGUGAGUUUAUGACCUCGAUGUUGAAUUAAAAUUCCUUC
rnacentral:rRNA from 1 species